rnacentral:rRNA from 1 species
CCAGGUUGAUCCUGUCAAUAGUUAUAUGCUUGUCUCAAAGAUUAAGCCAUGCAUGUGUAAGUAUGAACUAGUUCAGACGGUGAAACUUCAAAUGACCCAUUAAAUCAGUAAUAAUUAUUUGAUGGUAUCUGCUACUCGAAUAACCAUAGUAAUUCUAAAGCUAAUACAUGCAACAAACCCUGACUUUGGAAGGGAUGCAUAUAUAUAUAAAGGUCGUCGCGGGUUCUGCCCAUUGCUAUGGUGAUUCAUGAUAACUCGACGGAUCGCACAACCAUCGUGCUGGUGCCGCAUCAUUCAAAUUUCUACCAUAUCAACUUUUUAUGGUAGGAUAUUGGCCUACUAUGGUGGUGACAGGUGACAGAGAAUUAGGAUUCGAUUUCAGAGAGAGGGCAUGAGAAACGGCUACCACAUCCAAGGAAGGCAGCAGACAAGCAAAUUACCCAAUCUUGACAUGGGGAGGUAGUGACAAUAAAUAAAAAUACUAGGCUCUUAGAGUCUAGUAAUUGGAAUGAGUACAAUCUAAAUCCCUUGAUGAGAAUCCACUGGAGGGCAAGUCUGGUGCCAGCAGCCACGGUAAUCCCAGCUCCAAUAACGUAUAUUUGAGUUGUUGUAGUUAAAAAGCUUGUAGUUAGACCUUGGGUUAGGUCAAUCGGUCUGCUUAUGGUGUGCACAGGUUGGCUCGUCCCUUCGACCGACAAUGCGCUCCUGGCUUUAACUGGUCAGAUCGUGCCUCCAACACUAUUACUUUGAAAAAAUUAGAGUGCUCAAAGCAAGCCUACGCUCUAUAUACAUUAGCAUGGGAUAACAUCAUAGGAUUUCGAUCCUAUUUUGUUAGUCUUCGAGAUUGGAGUAAUGAUUAAUAGGGACAAUUAGGGGCAUUUGUAUUUUCAUAGUCAGAUGUGAAAUUCUUAGAUUUAUGAAAGACGAAUAACUGGGAAACCAUUUGCCAAGAAUGUUUUCAUUAAUCAAGAAUGAAAGUUGGGGGCUCGAAGACGAUCAGAUACCGUCCUAGUCUUAACCAUAAACAAUGCCGACCAGGGAUCGGCUGAUGUUACUUUUAGGACACCACUGGCAUCUUAUGAGAUAUCAAAGUUUUUAGGUUCCGGGGGUAGUAUGGUGCAAGGCUGAAGCUUAAAGGAAUUGACGGAUGGGUACCAUCAGGAGUGGAGCCUGUGGCUUAAUUUGACUCAAUACGGGGAAACUUACAGGUCCAAACAUAAUAAGGAUUGAUAGACUGAGAGCUCUUUCUUGAUUCUAUGGGUGGUGGUGCUUGGUCGUUCUUAGUUGGUCGAGUGAUUCUUCUGGUUAAUUCUGUUAACGAGCAAGACCUCAGCCUGUUAACUAGCUAUGCGAAGGUGACCCUUCAUGGCUAGCUUUUUAGAGGGACUAUAGCCACUUAGGCCAAGAAAGUUUGAGGCAAAUAACAGGUCUGUGGUACCCUUAGAUGUUCUGGGCCGUACACGCGGGACACUGAUGUAUUCAACGAGUAUAUAACAUUGGCUGACAAGCCCGGGAAAUCUUUGAAAUUUCAUCAUGAUGGGGAUAGAUCAUUGCAAUUGUUGGUCUUCAAUGAGGAAUUCCUAGUAAGUACACCGUCCGUUGGUCCUACUGAUUGAAUGGUCAGGUGAAGUGUUCAGAUCACGACGUGGAUGGUUCGCUGCCCACGACGUCGUGAGAAGUCCACUGAACAUUAUCAUUUAGAGGAAGGAUAAUUCGUAACAAGAUUUCCGUAGGUGAACCUACAAAAG